rnacentral:rRNA from 1 species
AAUUAUUUUCCUCCACUAACCGGAUUUAGAUACCCUGGUAGUCCACGCCGUAAACGAUGCUAACUCGUUUUUGGGCUUUCGGGUUCAGAGACUAAGCGAAAGUGAUAAGUUAGCCACCUGGGGAGUACGUUCGCAAGAAUGAAACUCAAAGGAAUUGACGGGGGCCCGCACAAGCGGUGGAUUAUGUGGUUUAAUUCGAUGAUACGCGAGGAACCUUACCCAAGGCUUAAAUGGGAAAUGACAGGUUUAGAAAUAGACUUUUCUUCGGACAUUUUUCAAGGUGCUGCAUGGUUGUCGUCAGCUCGUGCCGUGAGGUGUUAGGUUAAGUCCUGCAACGAGCGCAACCCCUGUCACUAGUUGCCAUCAUUAAGUUGGGGACUCUAGUGAGACUGCCUACGCAAGUAGAGAGGAAGGUGGGGAUGACGUCAAAUCAUCACGGCCCUUACGCCUUGGGCCACACACGUAAUACAAUGGCCGGUACAGAGGGCAGCUACACUGCGAAGUGAUGCAAAUCUCGAAAGCCGGUCUCAGUUCGGAUUGGAGUCUGCAACUCGACUCUAUGAAGCUGGAAUCGCUAGUAAUCGCGCCAUCAGCCAUGGCGCGGUGAAUACGUUCCCGGGCCUUGUACACACCGCCCGUCAAGCCAUGGAAGUCUGGGGUACCUGAAGUCGGUGACCGUAACAGAGCUGCCUAGUAAAACAGAAGG